UACUAGCAGCCUAUCGCUGGGUUCUUGUACUGAGGCACAACUAAAAAUACAACCAUGAAGAAAUUGAUAACCUUGAUGUUGUUUUGGGGUAUUAUUUGUACAACGACCUGUCAAACUACUGAUGGUGCAGCAGCUGGGGAUUUAACAGCUGUUAAUGAAAAAAAUUGCCUGACUGUUAACGAGUUCUGCGCACCUCUGUCGACAAAGCCAUGCUGUGAAGGCCUCAGUUGCUCGUAUAAUCUGAUCUGGACAUGCACUAAAAAUUGAUACCUUCAAGUUGACAAUUCAACGUUGAAUUCUUACAGACAUAAAAAAUGGAUAGGAGAUUUAUUUAUUUUUAGAUGACGUUUAAUUAUGUUGGCCAUUCUUUACUUUUAAUAAGAUUUACUUUGAUAACUCUACUUUAUGUAUUGAAUGAUUGUGUAUCGAUUUCUGAAAAUAAUGUAACAACAAUGGUAGUAUAUUUUAUUUUUAUUGUACUUUUAUAACUUAGCAACAUAAGUUCACAUUAAAAUAGUAAGCACAGUU